rnacentral:rRNA from 1 species
CUAAUACAUGCAAGUCGAGCGGACGAUUCAAAAUCUUGCUUUUGAAUCGUUAGCGGCGGACGGGUGAGUAACACGUGGGCAACCUGCCCUGUAGACGGGGAUAACACCGAGAAAUCGGUGCUAAUACCGGAUAACACGAAAGACCGCAUGGUUUUUCGUUGAAAGGCGGCGCAAGCUGUCGCUACAGGAUGGGCCCGCGGCGCAUUAGCUAGUUGGUGAGGUAACGGCUCACCAAGGCGACGAUGCGUAGCCGACCUGAGAGGGUGAUCGGCCACACUGGGACUGAGACACGGCCCAGACUCCUACGGGAGGCAGCAGUAGGGAAUCUUCCGCAAUGGACGAAAGUCUGACGGAGCAUCGCCGCGUGAGCGAAGAAGGCCUUCGGGUCGUAAAGCUCUGUUGUUAGGGAAGAACAAGUACCGCAGUCACUGGUGGUACCUUGACGGUACCUAACGAGAAAGCCACGGCUAACUACGUGCCAGCAGCCGCGGUAAUACGUAGGUGGCAAGCGUUGUCCGGAAUUAUUGGGCGUAAAGCGCGCGCAGGCGGUUCCUUAAGUCUGAUGUGAAAGCCCACGGCUCAACCGUGGAGGGUCAUUGGAAACUGGGGGACUUGAGUGCAGAAGAGGAGAGCGGAAUUCCACGUGUAGCGGUGAAAUGCGUAGAGAUGUGGAGGAACACCAGUGGCGAAAGCGGCUCUCUGGUCUGUAACUGACGCUGAGGCGCGAAAGCGUGGGGAAGCAAACGAGAUUUAGAUACCCUGGUAGUCCACGCCGUAAACGAUGAGUGCUAAGUGUUAGAGGGUAUCCACCCUUUAGUGCUGUAG